rnacentral:rRNA from 1 species
AUGGAUCUAUCACGUUCAGCCACCUGCACCGUCGCCGCCGUCGCCGUCGUCUGCCUCCUGUUGCCGCGUCCCUGCGCGCCGGCAGGCGACCACUUGGCCGUCGGCGAGCUGCUCUUGCCCGGGAAGUCCGUCGUGUCCGACGGCGGCGCCUUCGCUCUAGGCUUCUUCGUCCCGGACGAUGCCACCCCGGCCAGGCAGUACCUCGGCAUAUGGUACAACAACAUCCCCGGCCGCCCCACCGUCGUAUGGGUGGCCAACCGGGAAACACCAAUCUUCGCCAACCGUACUUCCUCCUCCUCCGGCCCGGCCCCGGCGCUCGCGCUGGCCAACGACACCACCCUCGUCCUGUCCGACGCCUCCGGCGGCGUUCUUUGGACAUCCGGCGUGUCCUCCGUGGGUAGCUCGUCCUCGUCCUCGUCCGCCGUGCUUAAGAACGACGGCAACCUAGUCGUCCGGUCGCCGAACGGGACCGCGCUGUGGCAGAGCUUCGACCACCCGACGGACACCCUCAUCCCGGGCAUGAAGGUCCGGAUGAGCCACCGGACGCUGCGGGGUGACAUCUUCGUGUCGUGGAAGUCCCCCGGCGACCCGGCGCCGGGAAGCUUCUCCUACGGCGUGGACCCCGGUACGUACAUCCAGCUGCUCCUGUGGAAUGGGACGCGCCCCUACUGGCGCUCUCCCGUGUGGACGGGGAUCGCCGUCACCACCAACUACAUCGGUGCUGGCACCGUCAUCUACACGGCGGUUGUCGACACCACCGAGGAGAUCUCCACGGCCUUCACUGUCUCCGACGGCGCCUCGCCCACUCGGUACGUAAUCACCAGCUCCGGCGAGUUCCAGGUCUUCAGCUGGAACGGCACCGCGUCGGCCUGGGCAACGCUCGACUCGUGGCCAGGGUCCAGCGGGUGCAGCCGGUACGGCUACUGCGGCGCGUACGGGUACUGCGACAACAUGGCGGCGGCGUGCAGGUGCCUCGACGGCUUCGAGCCGGUGAACGCGGCGGAGUGGAGCGACGGCAGGUUCGAUCAGGGCUGCCGGCGGAAGGAGGCGCUGCCGCCGUGCGGCGUCUUGGAUGGGGCAGGCUUCCUGCCGAUGCCGAGCAUGAAGGUGCCGGGCAAGUUCUUGCUGGAGGGCGGCAACCGGAGCGCGGAGGAGUGCGCGGCGAGGUGCGCGACGAACUGCUCGUGCGUGGCUUACGCGUACGCCGACCUGCAAAGCAGCAGUGCCAAGGGGGAAGUGAGCCGGUGCCUCGUCUGGGUCGGGGACCUCAUCGACACGCAGAUGCUCGACGGGCGCAUGGCUGUCAACGGCGAGACGCUCUACCUCCGGGUUGCCGUUGCUGUAGCUUCUAGAGGAAGAAAUGCAAGCAAAAACGCACUGAAAAUUGUGCUGCCGGUGUUAGCAAGUGUCCUGAUGCUCACCUGCAUUUUCUGUUUAUGGUUCUGCAGGUUCAGAGACAAGGGAAGAAGAACCAAUUCAACAGAGAGCCAAAACAAGCUGACCGCGUCUAAUUGGAAUGAAAUGGGCCAAGUAGAUCACACUGAAGACCUUGAGUUUCCAUGCAUACGGUUUGCCGACAUUGUUGCCGCCACACGGAACUUCUCCGAAACAUGCAUGAUCGGACGUGGAGGCUUCGGCAAGGUUUACAAGGGAACAUUAGACAGGGGUCAAGUGGUUGCUAUCAAGAGGCUGAGUAAAAAUUCAGAUCAAGGGGCAGAGGAGUUCAAGAACGAGGCCAUGUUGAUCUCCAAACUUCAGCACAGGAACCUGGUUCGUCUCCUUGGCUGCUGCACCGAGGCAGCAGAGAAGUUGCUCAUCUACGAGUACCUGCCCAACAAAGGCCUGGACACCAUCCUCUUCGACAUUGCAAUGAAAUCGGUGCUAGACUGGCCGACGCGGCUGGGGAUCAUCAAGGGCGUGGCGAGGGGGCUCCUCUACCUACACCAGGACUCUCGGCUGACGGUGAUACACAGGGACCUCAAGGCCAGCAACGUGCUGCUGGACGCGGAGAUGAGGCCCAAGAUAGCGGAUUUCGGCAUGGCCAAGAUUUUCGGUGACAACCAGGUGAAGGCCAACACCAAGCGCGUCGUCGGAACAUAUGGCUACAUUGCUCCCGAGUACUUGACGGCGGGCGUCUUCUCCGUCAAGUCCGACGUGUACAGCUUCGGCGUGCUGCUCCUGGAGAUUGUGAGUGGUGUCAGGAUCAGCUCUUCCGAUGGCAUCAUGGAGUUCCCGAGCCUUAUUGCCUUUGCAUGGAGCUUGUGGAGGGAAGGGAAGGCAAGAGACGUGGUGGAUCCAUCCAUGGCAGGGAGCUGUUCAGCUGAUGAGGCAUUGGUCUGCAUCCACGUCGGGCUCCUCUGCGUUGAGGAUGAACCAAGCAGGAGGCCGCUCAUGUCAUCCGUCGUGUCCAUAUUUGAGAACGGAAGUGUGUCGUCCAUGUCGCUCCCGACGCCGAUCCAGCCUGCAUAUUUCACAAUGAUGGAAGAGAGGAGAGACGAUACUGUGAACACCAGAAACACAAUGACCAUGACGAUUCUCGAGGGAAGGUAG